rnacentral:rRNA from 1 species
AUGGAGGGUCAGGGAGAGAAUGUGUGUGAUGGUUGGGGGAAGAAACCAGUGAGUGGAGAGGGUUCGAGGGGGGCAACAGAUGCUGCGGCGGGGAUGGGUUCCCCGUCGGCCAUUGCCCAAGCUGGUUCGUCUCUUCACCUGGCAAUGCAUAACCAGUUGGGGACGAAGAUGUCGGGGAGCCGUCCUCUACUCGUUGACAUGGAGGCUGCCCACAAGGCCAUCAGUGGUUUCCUCGUGGUUGGACGCCUCCUCUCCCCUUUCCAGGCCAACCCAAGGGUCAUCCUCGAUGAUCUCCGGAACUCGGUUUGGAAGAACCAAGGGGCGACCACCCUCCAUGAGGUGGACAGUGACGACGGGAGGUUCAUCCUCAACUUUGCCGCUGAGAGUGACCGUCGGUUUGUGCUUAAGGCGCAUCCAUGGCACUUCAAGCGGGAUGGGCUCAUCUUCGCCGAAUUCGACGGCAAGGGUGACCCGACAGAGGUAGAUCUUGGCGUCAUGACCAUAUGGGUCCAGGUACGAGACCUUCCGUUCGUGCUUAAGACAGAGAGUAUAGGGCGGUCUCUCGAGGAUCAAUUGGGAGAGGUGCUGGAGGUUUCGCACCAUAACCAUGUAAUUGUUGAAAAAUAUUUGCGUGUGCGCGUGAAGCUCUUAUUGCAUGAACCUCUGAAGACUUCUGUAGAGUUUACCCCUUUAGGUAGUUCAAAGAUACUUAAAUUUGAUGUAAAGUAUGAGAAGCUACCUUUGUACUGUGAGUUUUGUGGGAUUGUGGGUCAUACUUCUGAGAGGAUUUGUAAAAUCCCAAGUGAGAAGAGAGUAGCUUGCUUCCCUAGAAAUCUUAGUGUUGAGCCCUACUGGAAGAGCCAAGGUGCUAGCAGGAGGGGUCUCCUAUUCGGGAACUACUCUCGCGGCGGCAAGAAUCCGACCACAAGCAUCACCAACAACAACAAUAACGCCAAGCCCAUGGAUGUUGUCAAGGUGGCCACUGUCGUGAGUGGUCUCACGGUCUCUGAUAAGGGGGCCGCUACUUCUGCCAAGACGACCGCCGGCCAGGAGGGCCGGGUUCAGGAGGUCCUGGCGCAUGUUUCGGCUGGUGCGUCACUUGGUCAGGUGGACCAGGUGGGCGCGCUGGAUGCUCCACUCGGCCAGGAGGGCCGGGUUCCUGUGGCUCUUUCGCCGACUCCUUUUGGAGCUGCUCCCGGUCAGGUGGACCGGGAAGUGGCUCUGGCUGCCACUGCUAACCUUGGCCAGGAGGGCCAAGGGUUGGCGGUGCUGGGCUGCACCCAUCCAGGUGUUAUGCAUGGCCAGGAGGGCCAUGAGCUGCUGCAGCCGGUAGUGCCCAGCUAUGCCAAGGCACUGGUUGCUGCUGCUGGCCAUGGUGGAAAUCCUACUGGCCAGGAGGGUCAGGGGAUCCAUCCCAUGGGUGGAGGCAGCCAUUCACAGGGUGCAGCUAUAACAGCUGCUAAACAUGAUGGGCUUUUAUUCAUGCCCGGUGUGCUGGAGGCUCUUUCAGAGGCUGUUGCUGCUAGGCUGGCUGCUCAGGAAACAACAAAUGGUAAUGUGGCGUUUACUUUUAAUGCUGGGAAAAAUUCGGUGCAGGGCAAGCAAAAGAGGAAGGGGGGGAAAGGAAAAAAUGUGGGAGUGUUUGAGAGAGCAGAGAAUGCACGUAAAGUAACUAUAGGUAAAAAGAGGAGAAUCCCAUCUGAUCCUAGACCAAUAGGUAGUGAGUUAGACUUUUCUUUUGAGAAAGAGAUGGAGAGCUAUGAGCGCAUCCUGUAUGGUGAAUUGAAUGUGUCCUCCAAGCGAAUUUGUACAGGGAGAGUGGUAACUAUGAAGGAUGGGGAUGGGGUACUCACACAUGUAGCUAAGGAGACAGAGGAUGAGGAGGCGCAUAUGGAGCAGAGGAGGGAGUCAGUUGGAGAUGACGGCGCAUCGGCGGCCCCCGAGGCGGAGGUCCGCUGGGCCAAAUGA